rnacentral:misc_RNA from 1 species
GUGGUUUGUCUUUGAAUCUGAAGCUGAACAUGGAAGAGUUAUCUCCAUGGGUCGUCUGGUUUGUGGUACCAACUAGGUUUGGUUCGAGCGUCACGAAGAAGCGGACAACAAUGUGAUUGCAGAGUACUAGUGGUUUGCUGAAAUAGAUAUUGUAGACUACCCUCUUGAGCACCAAAGUAGGAUGUGUGCGGUCCUCAGCGCCAUUGGCAAUGUGUUUUGUAUUGAUCCUAGAUGUCGGGGAAUGGGGACUACGCUUCUGUUAGAGGGGUUGUCAAGAUCAACGGUGCGGAAGAUGUGCCUGAGAAAUUGGUAAUCCACAACCAUAGCGGCCCAGCCACCAUUGCUAGAGUCUUCCUCAUUUGCCUAUGGGUUGACCCCUCCAAUAUUGAUAUGUCACACUUCCAAUUCACCAACCCCCCUCCACCCCGAGUUGGCUUCCCAGGACCCUCCAGUUACCACAGCUUGUCGGGUGUUCAUCUUCUGCUUGGUGAUGUUCACUUCAUUCUGGUGCUUGAGUCCGCAUACAUGGAAAUGCAUGUGCUCUCAACUCCUGUGGCGUCUGACCCUCCACAUGCCCCUGCCACGUUGACCUUGCUGAGUGAUACGGAACAUGAGAACACUGCUCGAAAGAGGAAGGUCCGGCAUAAGAGGUUGGUUGACUUGGACCGCAAUACACGCAGGAGUGCCAGACUCAUGGCAAAGGAACCAAGCACUUUCGAAAAACCUCAAGCCAAAGCUGCUCGUGUUAAUGCCGCCCUGGUCGACUUUGAGGGUGCGUCUCAACGCUUCCAUGACGCUUUAUCAUCUUCUUUAGUUAUUGAUAAUUAUGUCCUCUCUAUCUUGGCAAUACAGAAGCCCUUACUGAUAUUGCCUCUGUUUGUGGCGCUUCUAAGGAUGAAGUCUGCCACAUCAGGGACGCUGAUGGUGUCCAUGACGUCUCUUCAUGAACUUACCGUGCCAAAGCUGCUCGUCUUACCCUCUUGGCAGGCUAUCUUCUUAAGAACCAUCGUUUCUCUUCGUUGGGUCGUCCACUCCACAUCAGGGAC